CGGACGGGUGAGUAACGCGUGGGUAACCUGCCUUGUACUGGGGGACAACAGUUGGAAACGACUGCUAAUACCGCAUAAGCGCACAGCUUCGCAUGAAGCAGUGUGAAAAACUCCGGUGGUACAGAUGGACCCGCGUCUGAUUAGCUGGUUGGUGAGGUAACGGCCCACCAAGGCGACGAUCAGUAGCCGGCCUGAGAGGGUGAACGGCCACAUUGGGACUGAGACACGGCCCAA
rnacentral:rRNA from 1 species